AACGAACGCUGGCGGCAGGCUUAACACAUGCAAGUCGAGCGCCCCGCAAGGGGAGCGGCAGACGGGUGAGUAACGCGUGCGAAUCUACCCAUCUCUACGGAAUAACGCAUGGAAACGUGUGCUAAUACCGUAUACGUCCUUCGGGAGAAAGAUUUAUCGGAGAUGGAUGAGCCCGCGUUGGAUUAGCUAGUGGGUGGGGUAAAGGCCUACCAAGGCGACGAUCCAUAGCUGGUCUGAGAGGAUGAUCAGCCACACUGGGACUGAGACUCGGCCCAGACUCCUACGGGAGGCAGCAGUGGGGAAUAUUGGACAAUGGGCGCAAGCCUGAUCCAGCCAUGCCGCGUGAGUGAUGAAGGCCCUAGGGUUGUAAAGCUCUUUCACCGGUGAAGAUAAUGACGGUAACCGGAGAAGAAGCCCCGGCUAACUUCGUGCCAGCCGCCGCAGUAAAAC
rnacentral:rRNA from 1 species